GAUUUCACGGGCAAACAUUUUGUCUUUUGAAAUGCUUUUUAUUAUUUGUAUGAUUUAAAUUGCCUGAUUUGCAUGUAUACAAAAUUUUAUCAACUAUGUGGCAAUUAAAAGAAUGUAAAAAUUUUCAUGCAUUGUUUUAACGACAAACGCUUUGGAAAACUCCUAAAUAAAUAAUUGGAGUCAUCUAUAGUUAUAACAGUACUUACAUACGUACGUACAUGUGUACGUAACUGGUGAAACAAGAGCUGAUUUAAAAAUUUUACAGAAUGAAAUAUUUUAUUUCAUAGAUACGUUCCAUAUUUAUACAAAAGUUGCAAAUAUUUAAUGUACAAAGUGGUAACUUGAUUAAAUCAGAAUUUAAAGAAAAAAAGGGAAACCUGAUACAAAAUAAGGCUAUGAAAUAAUAAAUAAAAUUUAGUAAAAGAAAGCAACAGAAUUGUCUCUUAAUAAUUGGUUUAUUAAGAUUACUUAAUUGGGAAAUUUAUAUUAUAGUAAAAUGAAUUAUGUUUGUGUAUUUAAAUUCUAAGGUAAAAUUAUGAAAUACAUAUGUAAUUUAUAAUAUGGAAUUAAAUGUAUUUGCUAUUUUUAAA